GACCUCCUGGCUCUCUGGAAUGGGAGUCACAGCAUAUAUCUGCAAAUCUAGGAUUCAAGAGUCAAGGAGAGAACCUGACUUGGCAAACUCCAUGGAAGUCUGGCUUGGGCUGAGCUAUGGCAGAGAGAAGAGGAUGGGUAACAAUCUUCUGUUUCCAUUUCAGUUGAAGUCAUUAAAAAAAUUACCAAGAAGACGCCAGGAACUCAGUUCUAGCAAAUCACUUCUCAAACUACAGGUCUUGAACUAGUUCUAGGGACAGGAUGCCAAGAGAUGAACAGCAAUGUUUUCAUAUAAAACUGCAGUGCCUGCCAGAGUCAACAUGAUGGACUGAAGUUAAAACAAGCUUUUUCUCUUUCGUUUUCAUGUUAGGAGAAGUAUCGAUGAACUGCUGACAUGAAAUACUGUGCCAAAAGGACAGAGUCAGUUCCUGCCAGUUGAAUAAAUUCCUUGUUGGGAUAUAAGGGAUUUUAUGAGCUGUUACAGGUUUAUGGUAUUAUCUCUUAAAUGGCUACCUCAAAAUUAAAAGGCAAUAUUGUACUCUUUUUUUUAAUGUAUAAAAACUGAUGAUCCUAUUUUAGAAACCCUGAAGAACUGAAGCACUCAGCAGGAUCUUGUGUAUUACAAGAUGACACAAACGUUCAUGUUGCUCAAGAGUAAGGACUUGGAGGGCAAGGAGGACUUGUUUGAACCUAAGAGCAAAGCAGAUAUAAAACAUUUGGUUCAGAGAAACAGAAUACUCAACUCCUUGAGCUCUUAGGUACUGAAACGUUGAUCUAAGUCCAGCAAAUAAAAACACAUUGCUGAAGCUAAAGAGAGGUGACACCUACAGAAUUUGGCCCUAAAUUAUUUAGAAAUAGGUCAGCCAUUCCUACAGAUUUGCAGAUUAUGGGACUAAGAAUGGUAUAUUGUUACAGAAACUUAUGUGUAAGUGGAAACUCUUCAAACAGGGUGGAGAUUUUCCACAAUAAACUAAAAGUGUUAAUCCUGGAUUAGAUUGUAUAUUUCAUAUGUGGUAUUUAAAACAGAUCAAGUGCUCACUUUUUUAUAUUAAAUAAAAGCAUUACACAAAUCAA